UCCGGAAACCCACUUCCGUUUCUUCGAAGGCUGGGCCUCGUCGGGGGCGGGGCCUGGUAACUGUGGGCGGGGCAGGAGGCGGGGUAAGUCCUUGAAGGGAAAACUGCUUGGAAGCUUCUAAAGUCAGUGGGUUGGGGUGUUGUGGGGAGUGUCAACGGAGAAAACACAGCAGAUGCAUGUGUAACCGGACAAAAAUGAAAACUCUUAGCUAGUACCUAGCUUCCUUCAAUGAAGAAAAACCAAGUCUCAUCAAAGAAGAAAUGAAGAAAGCUAGAGUGAAGAACAAUAAUUGAGAUGCAGUAAACCUUGUAUGUUCAUAAUCUGAAAAACUUGGGAGAUAUAAGCACCUCUCUUUAAAAAGAUAAGAUAUCUGGAGCCAGUGAGGUGGUUGAAGACCCUUGCUGCUAAACCAGACAACCUGAGUGUGAGCUCCAGGAUCCUACAUGGUAGGAGAAGAGAACAGGAUACUAUAAGCUACCCUCCGACCUCCAUACAGGGCAUUGCGAUGGCUGUUCCCGGUUGUCAACUUGACUGCUUCUGGAAUGAACUACAACCAGAAAUGGGGGGUACACCUACAGUCCAGAUCUUGAGGCAUAGUGGCCAUGAAAAGCUUACGGCCAGACAAGGUAGUACACAACUUUAAUCCCAGGAGACCAAGAUAAGCAGAUCCAGCCUGGGACAGAGCAAGUUCCGAAUCCAGGAAUGGUGGUGCACACCUUUAGUCUGGGCCACACCCUCUGCUGGAGGCCUACACAAGGACACGGGAAGAAGGAAGGCUCACUCUUCUUUGCCUGCUCACACCUACUUGCCUGCUGGAAACUACUUGCCUUGCCAUCUGUUGGAAACUACUCUUUCAGAACUCCAGCUUACAGAAGCCCAGCUAAAACAAGUAACUUCGUGGGACUGAGCAACUACUAGAUUCUUGGACUUCCCAUUCACAGCUGCCUAUUGUUGGAGUAGUUGGACUGCAGACUGUAAGUCAUUACAGUAGAUUCCUUUAACAUAUAGAGGCAUUCCAUAAGUUCUGUGACUCUAGAGAACCCUGACUAAUACCGGGAUCAGAAGCCCACAGUGGCCAGCGGGGGAGUGUAAGCUUCCAGUUCAGUGAAAUGAUGGUUGUGGCUCCUUGCAGAAGCACUCCCUACAGUGGAUUCAAAACUUCUAGGCCAAGCAGAACUUUAAGGCAUGGGAAGAGAUACCAAAAUUAUUGGGUCACUAGGGGUGAUGUUGAGUGAAACCAUUCCCACUACCUUGACUACAGAAUCUGUGAAUUUUGCCCGUGGAAGAAACCAUACCAUAUCAAUAUAUGCUGAUUCAAAUCAUAUACUGCCUUCUAGAGACCCCUAUCCCAGCCCUCCAGGAUGCUCCCACCUAAUUUGCAUUGUAUCUUCAAAGGGCCAUUCUAUCUUUCUAUCAGAGAAGCUGCUUCAGUGUGAUGGAGAACAUGGUAAGAGUAGUAGAUUCUGUGGUUGUAAAGUGAAUUCCUUUGCCAGUAGCAAUACUGUGUGAAAUAUAGAUAAUGGAUUAUAUAAAGUCUACCUAUGAUAGUUUUGACUGAAACAUCAUGUGUAGAAGAGGCAAAUCUAUAGCUGUAAUAAGGAUCUAUCCAUCAUGGAUGAAGCACUGUCUUUUUCAUGGAGGAAAUGGCCCAGUGUAGUCAACCUGUCACCAAGUUGCUGGCUGAUCACCCUGGGAAAUGGUAUCAUAUCUGGGGCUCAGGGUUUGUCUCUGCUGUUGGCAGACCUAGCAGGACAUGCUUGGUGAGUCGAAGCCCAUGUUGUCGAGUCCACACAUAAUUCACAUUUCUCCCACCAUGGCCACUUUGGUCAUGGGCCCCACUGGGCAGUGACAGAGAUGGCUGGAGAGAGAGGCUGACUGUCCACAGAGUGGGCCAUCUUUCCUACUUGAUUAUUGAACUCCUCAGCUGAAAUCACCUUUUAAUGAACAUUUGUGUGAGACACACAUAUCUUCACAUCCUUUGCCCAGUUGGAGAGGUCGAUCCAUACACUUCUUCCCAGAUGUACUUCUCAUCUCUUUUUGAUCACACUUUUUCCAAGUGCCAGGCUAACCAGCCAAUCUAUUGCCUAUAGCCUAUGAAUCAGCAAAGGACUGCACUUCUGGCCAUUUCUUCUUCCAAACAAAAUAUCCGAUCACGUGUGCCCCCCAAGAUUCUUCUCACUGCCCAUUCACUCAUAUCUUUCAAGGUUGUCCCAGAAAGAGUCAACUUUUCAGAUUGCCCGCUUCCUGUUGCUACCUGUGCAAGUGCAUCAUCAAUAAACUAAGUUCUAUUCUCUCUUUCCCAACCAACUGGUCACAAGGCAUAAAACAUUAGGCUACAGGUUCAUGCUUUGGAGCAGAAGGCACUGUAGCAUUUGGGCAACUUCUUUGUGUGACUUGCUUAUGCCCUCAAGAUCAUGUGUAUAAUGCUUCAAUUUGAUAAAUACACUAUUUCUGUGCAUGCCCAACGUUAAGGUUUGGUGAAUCAGAGAACACCCAGCUCACAAUGAGUGGUUCAGAUCACAUGGUAAUUCUAUGGGCUAUCGUCAAAUUUCAGUUUCCUGUAAAACCAAGCAGCCCGAGAGCUGUUUCUCACAGAAAGAACAGUCUGUAGAUGAUAGUAGAGCCUUGCUCCAAAAUCCCAAGGAAGUUCGCUGUGAUUCACCUAUAGGGGCUGUCAAAGGCUCUAAGCAGCAUCUCUAGCUGCCAUUGACACCUCAAGUACCAUUGGGACUUCUGGAUCAUAUGGGCCAAAUGAUAGAGCAGCCUGCACGGCAGCCUGCACCUGUUGAAGAGCCGUCUCCAUUCCAGGCCCCACACAGAGCUACCAGCUUUCCAAACUACUUGGGAUUUGAUCUGGAGUAAGACACUCAAGAGGGGAAUGCUCUAUCUCCCAGAGUUCAAAGAACCACUGAGCAUUAUGUUUCCUUCUUGAUUCAGGUGCAAUAACUUAUCUUUCACGUCAGAAGGAGUAUCUGCAUGGCUGACAACAGUGGACUCCUAGAAAUUUCCCUGAGGGAGAAGGCCCUUGAAUUUUGAUUGCAUUUAUUUCCCAUCCUCUGAUGUAUUCUUUACCAACAAGUCUACAGUGUUUGUUACCUCUUGCUCACUUGGCCCAGUCAGCAAGUCAUCAAUACAAUAAACCACUGUGAUAUUUUGUGGAAGAGGCUGGUGGUUCAGAUCCCUGUGAGCUAAGUUAUGACACAGGGAUGGAGGCUGAAUAUAUCCACAGUAAAGACGAACUGCUGGCCUGGAAGAAGGUAAAUCUCCAGCUACCAUGAGGGGUGGAGGGGAAUAUCCUCAAUAUAUAAUAUAUCCAUGAAAAUUUAAAUAACUGAUCAUAAUUUUUAAAAGUGGUUGAGAUAAUAUCAAACUAUUAACAAAUUGCUCUGUAGCAAACAUCUCCUAGACUUGGUGGUUUAUAGCCUCAGUUUUUAGUGUUAAUCACACACCUGGGCUUUGUGUGGCUUUUACAGCAAGCUCUGCUGCAUGGACUUGGCUCAGCUGGCGUCACUGCAGGUCAUGGGCCUUGCUUUCAAGAUGGUUCAUUCCAGUGUUGCCAUAUUAGUAGAUAUCAGCCGGACCUCGGACUGAAGACUGUAUUCCCCUGCAGGCAGGUCACCUCAUGGCUUUGGGUCACCCUCACCUCAUGGCUUUGGAUGCCAGACCAUUGUGCUCCAGAAAAGCAGGUAGAAACAACCCUACCCACCUAUUGUGACCUCACUUUGGAAGUCCCUCUGUAACCAUGACACAUUCAGAAUCCCAGGAAGGGACCAUCAACUCAACCGCUCAAUGGAAUGACUAAGAAACCAUUUUAUUGAAACACCAUGGGCUGGGGGAGUCUUCUGAAGUAAUUUUUUCAAUACAGUCAGUCUCUCAUUCAUCCCAUGCAUCCUUCGUGAAUCUUCAGCCCAAAUAAAGCCUUUCUUCUAUAAG